rnacentral:rRNA from 1 species
CCUACGGGAGGCAGCAGUGGGGAAUCUUGCGCAAUGGGGGCAACCCUGACGCAGCCAUGCCGCGUGAAUGAUGAAGGCCUUAGGGUUGUAAAGUUCUUUUGCCCGUGACGAUGAUGACGGUAACGGGAGAAUAAGCUCCGGCUAACUUCGUGCCAGCAGCCGCGGUAAUACGAAGGGGGCUAGCGUUGUUCGGAAUUACUGGGCGUAAAGCGCGCGCAGGCGGUUCGAUAAGUUAGGGGUGAAAUCCCUGGGCUCAACCCAGGAAUGGCCUUUAAGACUGUCGAGCUAGAGGACGAGAGAGGUGAGUGGAAUUCCCAGUGUAGAGGUGAAAUUCGUAGAUAUUGGGAAGAACACCGGUGGCGAAGGCGGCUCACUGGCUCGUUUCUGACGCUGAGGCGCGAAAGCGUGGGGAGCAAACAGGAUUAGAUACCCUGGUAGUCCACGCCCUAAAACGAUGAGUGCCAGGUGUCGGGAAGCUUAGCUUCUCGGCGCCGCGACGACUAACCGUACCUUAACGUACACCUCCCGCCCGUCGGGGACGGGUACGGGACCGGCCGAACGGUUAAAAACGUAAACGAAAAGGAAAGUUAAGGACGGACGUGUAGACGUUAGCCGAACGGACGACCGAACGAAGGGAGGAGG